GGGAACACUGAGGUACGUGCUCUUCUUUGUCAUGAUGAUCCGGACUUGGAGCUCGCUUUAGUCAAAGAAAUUCAAGUCCCUGUGCAGAGGGUCAACAUAGUACAGGCUCAUAAACCAAUGUAUGUGGCAUAAUGGGUCACCUUUGAGCACUAAUCAGAAGCGCAAACGCCAGUGAAUCACGCCACUAUACCAGCCCAACGUUGAAGCGUCACUAUACAUUUGGGCAGUUAGUGCGGUAACAAAGACACGCGAUUUGCUGCACUUUUUUUUCCAUAAUAUCCGUGUCCUUUGACAACCAUGAUAUGGCAAUUUCAAAAUAAGUGUUUGUACGGUUAUGGGAAUAAGGAAUGAUACACUUUAGUCUCUAAUAUUAAGGGUUUUACGAUAUUUUUUUAUAAAAAACGUGGAAGGUAAAUUUUCGUUUCUGUAUGCAUCGCUCGAACUUUAGCUUUAAAGGCAGUGGACACUAUUGGUAAUUGUCAAAGACAAUUCUUUUCUCUAGAUGCAUGUCAACAUAUACUUUAAAUAACCAACCUGUAAACAUUUGAACUUAACUGUAUAAACUAUACUACAUCGUUGCGGUACCCGCUGCCAAAACAUAGGAUUCGAACUGCCUCUAGCUGCCGGGUAAC